AUGGAUAUGUCUAAGUCGUGCAGCACACCUACUAAUUAUCCCCAACCAAAAAGACAGCUUUCCAGUUUCAGCCUAUGGAUAUGUCUAAGUCGUGCAGCACACCUACUAAUUAUCCCCAACCAAAAAGACAGCUUCGCAAGACUACCUUUGCUCCACUUUGGCUGGGAAGGAAGAGAACCUCCAGACAGCAUUCUGCUUGCACAGACCAGCAAGCCUACAGUUCUGUGUCUCUGUGUCUGGAUGGCUGUCCGUAAUAACCUUUCUUAGAGUGGUCUGAUAGCUGCUGAUGGCACUCCUCCUCCUCCUCCUCUCCAUCGCUGCCACAGCUGCCACGAUCCUCCAUGUGAGGAUGCGGUAGGAGGUCAGCAGCUAACAGUCAGACAGGGGGAAAGAAAGACAAUGUUUACUUCCAUUCUGAGACCCUGAAAAU
rnacentral:lncRNA from 7 species